rnacentral:rRNA from 1 species
GGGUUGUGAGGUUAAGCGACUAAGCGUACACGGUGGAUGCCCUGGCAGUCAGAGGCGAUGAAGGACGUGCUAAUCUGCGAUAAGCGUCGGUAAGGUGAUAUGAACCGUUAUAACCGGCGAUUUCCGAAUGGGGAAACCCAGUGUGAUUCGUCACACUAUCAUUAACUGAAUCCAUAGGUUAAUGAGGCGAACCGGGGGAACUGAAACAUCUAAGUACCCC